UUUAGAAACAGACAAAAGGCCAAUUGAAAAUCUUGGAUGAAUAGUUACUCUGGACAGGGCUUUGGAUGUGUUCUGCUCUGUGGAAUUUUGUGCUUACUACUGUAUAGUGCAUGUGGCUUAGGUUGCUGUAGCUGGUUUUGUCCGUGUAAACAUUGAAAGUAUUAUAUUUUUAUAGAAAUGUUUAUUUUUUAAUGAUGUAUGAAAAUUUUUGUUAGGCCGCAGAAGUAUGGGAGGUAUGUGAGACUGGGUUCGGCAGCAGCCUGUUUUUUUUUUUAAUGGCUGUAAGUUAUGAUAAGGAAGUGUACUGAUUGCCAGUACACCCCACCCUCAUUACGUCACCGGGACUUGGAGCCAAGGGUUAAUAGAGCAAGCUAUGACAUGGGUGUGCUCUGCUGAAACCCAAUAGUUGAAUUUGGCUGUUGUUGCAGGAAAACGAUGGCAAUCAACAGGUCUUUGAUGGUGGUAGAACAUAUCAGAACACAUAAGGAACUGUAGUCGAGAUUUAUUUCAAUUCAGAUGUUACUGCUUCGUAACUAUGAAGAGUAGUGCCAAUUCACAGAGCACUGUCAAUGGCUGACAGCAAAACAUAAUCUGCUCUGCAGAAAGAGUUGACUGCCAUUACGAGGUCAAGAGAAUGAACAGAAAAUGGCACCAGGAACAGAAAGAGCUGUGGGAGACACCCAUACCUGUAUAUACAUGCCCCAGAAAGCUGUAAUGUGAACAUCAUGUUUCCUAUUUAUGAACCUUCCUAGGGCACUGUGUCUGGACAGACUGUGAGAGGAAGUCAUUCUCCUAAGAUACUUGUCACUGCCUUUACCUGCACUUGAGCUGAAUGGUACUCCGUGUGUUAAUAAUUGUUCUGGUAAAUCAUACAGUGAAAAUAAAAUGACGUAACAUCUUGUAUACUGUG
rnacentral:lncRNA from 1 species